rnacentral:rRNA from 1 species
GAUGAACGCUGGCGGCGUGCCUAAUACAUGCAAGUCGAGCGAACAGACGAGGAGCUUGCUCCUCUGACGUUAGCGGCGGACGGGUGAGUAACACGUGGAUAACCUACCUAUAAGACUGGGAUAACUUCGGGAAACCGGAGCUACUACCGGAUAAUAUAUUGAACCGCAUUGUUCAAUAGUUAAAGACGGUUUUGCUGUCACUUAUAGAUUGAUCCGCGCCGCAUUAGCUAGUUGGUAAGGUAACGGCUUACCAAGGCGACGAUGCGUAGCCGACCUGAGAGGGUGAUCGGCCACACUGGAACUGAGACACGGUCCAGACUCCUACGGGAGGCAGCAGUAGGGAAUCUUCCGCAAUGGGCGAAAGCCUGACGGAGCAACGCCGCGUGAGUGAUGAAGGUCUUCGGAUCGUAAAACUCUGUUAUUAGGGAAGAACAAAUGUGUAAGUAACUAUGCACGUCUUGACGGUACCUAAUCAGAAAGCCACGGCUAACUACGUG